rnacentral:lncRNA from 1 species
CUCAAAAGCGGAACUGCUCUAACUUCACAUGCCAAAGUAGAACCUACUUCUCCUGCCUCUGCCUUGCACUCAGCAUCCAGCCUUGCCCAUGGUGCAGUACAGCAGAUAUUGCUGUGGGAGAGCCUGGCUGGUGAGACAGAGUUCCUUCCUGCUCACCUCCUUGAGCAUCGAGCUGUGUCAGCUGGGAUGACUGGAGAAGCCCAUCUCUUUCCCUGUCCUCUGAGACCAGGAAAUUGAAAGUAAGGAAAUCUCAUCAGGAACAACACCCACAUGCAGGUACCAAGCCCCUGCUGCACCUGAAUUCAAUUGAUGCAAAGAAGCUGAAUUUAAAAUAUGCUCCAGAACAAAGCAAGGCCAGCUGGAGGAUUUCCUGCAGGAGAAAGGAAAAGCCUGGGGAGGCAGUGGGCCGGAAUGCUGAGCUGUGACACAUUCCUGCUGGCUACAGUCUCAUUCUGUUCCUCCCCUUACCAAGGCGGGCAAGCCCCGGGUGUUCGCAGCGCUGCGGUGUGACAGCGGCAGCCCGGGAAGGCGAUCCAUGCGGUGAUCCCGGCGAUCCAUGCGGGGAUUGAGUCACUCGCACAAGGUCACGCGAAUCGCUGGCGCCUCCAGGAAUAGCACCCGGAGCCUCCCGGCUCUCUCGAGCCCACCCUCGGCACUCCAGCCCGAAUUCCCCUGGUCUGAGACUUCUUCAAGCAAUGUGUCCUGCAAGGAUUAUGAACCUUUCUGCAACAAGAUCUGA